rnacentral:rRNA from 1 species
UACGUAGGGGGCAAGCGUUGUCCGGAUUUAUUGGGCGUAAAGAGCGUGUAGGCGGCCUGAAAGGUCAGCUGUGAAAACUCGAGGCUCAACCUCGAGACGUCGGUUGAAACCAUCUGGCUAGAGUCCGGAAGAGGAGAGUGGAAUUCCCGGUGUAGCGGUGAAAUGCGCAGAUAUCGGGAAGAACAUCCGUGGCGAAGGCGGCUCUCUGGGACGGUACUGACGCUGAGACGCGAAAGCGUGGGGAGCGAACAGG